UGGCCUAAAAGCAGGCCCCGCCUUCAGACAUUGGAGACUCAGAGGUUGUGGGUGUUGGCCGUGGGGGUUGAAUCGUCCUGGGAUGUCGGAAGACAAAGGAGAUCCAGACCUAAGUUUCCUCUUUCCCGCUUUAAGGUUCGGUCCCUCGGUGGUCUCAUAGGUAAAGCCAGCGUGGUCCCACCAGGCUCCAGUGAGUGUGGUGUCCUGCAGCUACUUUCCAAAGGCAGGGGCUCCUGAGCCCCUCAUGCCGGCGGCCCAGCUCCUGUCAGGUGUCUGACGCAGGCAGGUUCUGAAGAUCUGUGUCCAGGUGGCUGCUGAGGCUUCUGCUCCAGGUUCCAGGACAGCGGUCCUCAGGAGACCCCGACACUUCACAUCCGCAGUGGGACAGGACACCUGGCUCCGCAAAUCCACCUCAAUGAAUUCCUAGAUUUUUGGAUGGUGAGACAGAUGAAAAGAGACAGCAUGUAUGAUGUGAUGCCUCUGGCAUUAGCAUCAUAGCAUGACUACCAGAGAGAACACUGGGACUUGUGACAGCAAGCAGGGAUGAGCCCACAUUUCCACAAUGUGUGAACUUCAGUGUCACUGCUGUGAGGGCUGUGAUCAGCUGGGGAAGAGGCAAGACGUCAUUGCACAGCCUCCAGUGAACUGAGUGGGAACAGGCAAGUACAUCUUCACCCCUUUCCCUGCAUUUCAUGCACUUUCCUGUCCUCUCA